GGUACGAUGGCCGAGUCGGUUAAGGCGAAGGUCUUAAGAACCUUUGGGUGCAAGCCCGCGUGGGUUCGAACCCCACUCGUACUA